rnacentral:piRNA from 1 species
UGAAGAAUUUCUCUUCCAACAGGGGCA